AAAAAUGAAAAGGGAUCCCACUGUAUGGGAGAACAUAUUUGCCAUUGAUACAUCUGAUAAGGGGUUAAUUUCCAAAAUAUAUAAGGAACUCAUACAACUUAAAAAAGAAAACAGUCCAAUUAAAAAAUGGGCCAAGGACCUAAGACACUUCUCCAAAGUGGCCACACAGCUGGCCACCAAACAUGAAUCAAAGAACAGUGUCACUAAUGAGAGAUGCAAAUUAAAACUACAAAGAUGUACCUUCUCACACCUGCCAGAAUGGCUACCACCAUUAAGUCAGUAACAAGAGCUGGUGAGGAUGUGGAGGAAAAUGAACCCCGGAACACUGCUGGUGGGAAUGCAGACUGGUGCAGCCACUAUUGAAAACUGUGCAGUUUCCUAAAGUUAAAAAUGGAGCUACCAUUUGACCCAGUGAUUCUAGGAAUAUACUACAAAUCCCAAAGCACCAGUCAAAAAGAAUAUGUGCGCCUUUAUGUUCAUAGCAGCGCAAUUGACAACAGCCCAGGUGCCCAUCAGUAGACCAGUUGAAAAAAAGCUGUGGUACAUUUACACAGUGCAAUACUAUGCAGUUGUAAAAAAAAACACCACACAUCUAUAUUACUGUUUGAGACAGCAUGGAGGAACCUGAAGAUGAUUAUGCUAAGUAGAAAAAGCCAGUCAGAGAAAGACAAGUACCAUAUGAUCUCACUUAUAUGUGGAAUUUAAUGAACAUAAUAAACUGAUGAAUAAAAUAGAACCAGAGGCAUGUAAACAAGGAACAGACUAAUGAAUGUCAUAGGGAAAAUUGGAGGAGGGGGAGAUGAACACCCCGCUUCAUUUCAGUGAGCUUAAUAGUUAAUAUUAAAAUUGAACAAAUAUUAAUUUGUCCACUUAAUACACUGAAAUGAAUUGAGAUAUAUAAUUAAAUUUUAUAUUAUCUACUGUAUUGGCUGAUUUAAGUUUAUAGACUGGAAGUUUAGAAAAAAGUGGAAGAACCAGAUAAAUAUAUUGAUUGAUCAGAAGAAACACUCCAAAAAUUGACAUGAAACAUUGCAGCAAGAUUAAAGUAAUGCAGUUAACUUUAUUUUGUUUUCAAAUGAAAACUUGCUUCUUUGGCAAUAUUCAUCAAUGAAGCAGAAUUUUUUUCCUCUUUUGUCUGAAUAUGGGAAUUUCAUUCUUGUUACAUGAAUCACGGGUAUUGGAGCUGUGUAACUGAAUUAUAGCUAGCAUGUGGUUCAGAAUAUACGUUAGGUUUUUAAAAACACCUGAAUUUUUUAUUUAUAAUUUCAAACUUUCACAGCAGUGUACAGAGAAUUUCAUAAAUUUGUUUCAGUGAACUCCUCUUUUUGCUAUAGGUUAUUAGACAUAGUGUUUACUCUUCUAAAUGAAAAUUUCUGAUCAUCUAAAACAUUGACACUUGAAUUUGCAGUGUGUUGUUCUGUUUUGUUCUCAAUAUAUUAACGUUCCUCUGAGUGGUAUUGAUAAAUGGUUCAGAAGAGUAACUCAGUAAAGUAAAAGUAAUAUUUAUUCAUGAUAAGCAAUUAAAUUAUUUGCCUAACUUAAGAAAACUACUGUGCAUAACUCAAUUUGACACAAGGCGAUAGAAGAGUCUGAGUUUACCUGUGGAAUAUAUUGGUUUAUUCUCAGUGUUUGAAGAUACAUUUGAAGAUAAUUGAUUUGGGAAGAUGCCAUAUAAUUUUCCUUUUUUUUUUUUAACCUGCAUGCUGUAAAUGUGUUUUAUGUUUAAAUAAAGAGGAAAAAUUUUUUGAAA